AUUGAACGCUGGCGGCAGGCUUAACACAUACAAGUCGAGCGGAGAUGAGGUGCUUGCACCUUAUCUUAGCGGCGGACGGGUGAGUAAUGCUUAGGAAUCUGCCUAUUAGUGGGGGACAACAUUCCGAAAGGAAUGCUAAUACCGCAUACGUCCUACGGGAGAAAGCAGGGGAUCUUCGGACCUUGCGCUACUAGAUGAGCCUAAGUCGGAUUAGCUAGUUGGUGGGGUAAAGGCCUACCAAGGCGACGAUCUGUAGCGGGUCUGAGAGGAUGAUCCGCCACACUGGGGCUAAGACACGGCCCAGACGCCUACGGGAGGCAGCAGUGGGGAAUAUUGGAAAAUGGGGGGAACCCUGAUCCAGCCAUGCCGCGUGUGUGAAGGAGGCCUUGUGGUUGUAAAGCACUUUAAGCGAGGAGGAGGCUACUGAGACUAAUACUCUUGGAUAGUGGACGUUACUCGCAGAAUAAGCACCGGCUAACUCUGUGCCAGCCGCCGCAGUAA
rnacentral:rRNA from 1 species